CCCGUCCACCGCUGGGCUCCGCCGCCUGCCCUUGGCUCCGCCUGUGCUGGGCUCUCCUGCGCGCCCACAAACGUGCCGCUGAACCUCGGUGAGAGAGUCCUGCGGACCCGCUGCCGCCUUGGGCGUCGCCCCUCCCUGGCCGCCUGUUGUCGCCCCCUGACGCGGCCACUCGCCCUUCCCCCCCAGCGAUCAGGAUUCCUCUGGGAGACAGCGGGUGUGUGAGGCCCUCAUCAGUAUCUGCACACACGCCCAAACUCCACUCACCUCUCCAUUCAAAGAGGCUCCUUCAGUGCUGUCUCCACCGUGUCCAACGCCCUGUGUGCAGCUGACCACAGGAAGCCCUGGUGUCUCCCUCAGCUUCCCCUCAGUCCACCCCUGACUCUGGCUGACGUGAGAGCUCAGUGGUGGUUCAGGGGACCUGGAGCUGGCGGCAGCACUGACCAUUCUCAUGCUGUUCUGUGUCCAGAUCUGCAUUCGCUGCUCUUGCUUCUUCAUCCUGUGUCCUCCUCCCUCCAGGCUGGUGAGGGGGGGACUUGAUGGCACCUGUCUAGGCAAUGACAGUAACACACAGAGCAAUUCAGCAGCACGACCAUGGUACAUAGCCUCUAUCUGAAAGAGCCUGGUUUUCAAUCCAGUUUUGUUUGUUUUUUCCAAAUCACAGAAAGGAUCUUUUUCAACUCCCUUCCAGUGAUGGGUGCUUUUUGGGAAUUGGGGUAAGAUGAGUGAGACUCAUAAUUUGCCCCAUGGUAGGGGUCAGGGAGGAAGCAGUUGCUGGGUCCUUACACAGUCCUGUGAGCAGGAGACUCCACCCAGCUCAGAGGGGACACAGCUGCAGGGUCCCCUUCAGCACAGGAAGCACCAAUGCCCCAGCCCUGGGGAGUUUGGGGGAUUACACAGCAGGGACACCCACAGUGCAGACCCUGGGGAGACCCACAGCGCCCCCUGCUGCUCCCUAGUCAGACUUCAGCUCUGGGUGGAAAUAAUGUCAGAGGCACUGGGCUGACACCUGGUAACUGUCACCACAAAUAUCCAUGGGCCAUGCACCCUACUGUGAGCCAAGAUACUGGUAUAAAUUGACUGUUCAAUUUCUCAGAAAGCAAAGCAAGUAACUCCCCAAAUCAAUAAGUUAUUAAAAAUCUACCACAUAGUCUAUAUGUUAAUGUUU
rnacentral:lncRNA from 1 species